ACAAUCAGAGACAGGCCACGCCUCCCCAGGCUCCCGGGAGAAACCUCAGGGAACUUCCUGUGUUCCCUGUAAUCUCCCCCUACCUGGAUGCCCUGUUGCCAGACUCCAUUUCUCGGACCAUCCUCCACCAUACUGCCUCGGUACCUGAAGAGCAUUGGGAGACUAAAUGAGCAAUGCAUCUUGCAUCCCAUCCAGAUGGACCCAGAAGUAUUUAUUUUUUCUUUUAGUGGUGGGGGAUGGGCAAGUGACCUUUCCAGGGAUUGCCCAACAGGCUGUGGAAACACUGGCGCUGCAUGGUGGGGUACCUUCCCUUAAUGGUUGCAAGAGGAAUUUAGAUUAGACAUUCAAAAGCUGUUCCUUAUGUCGCAAGACACUGCACAAUAAGGAAGGGAAGUAAACAAUCUAUUCAAAAAUUA